UCAAAGUUCUAACCUUUGAUUUCUAAUUUCUCUUCUCCUAAUCCCUAAUUAUCUCAUCAUCAAUGUUAUUUCUCUUCUCCCAAUUUAAUUUCUCUUCUCCCAAUCCCUUAUCAUCUCAUCAUCAAUGUUAUUUCUUUUCCCAAUUCAUAUACUACAAUUUAAUCGUCACUCCUAUUUUCCAGGUUGCAGCUCAGAACUUUGUUAUGAAACGACUCUGGGGUUAUGUAAUUAAGAGUAGAUGUUGGGUUUGAAAAGGUGCAAAUGGAGACUAAACGUGUAAACCUCAAACUUCUUGGAAAGAAAAACCAUAUGUUCUGGACUGACCAAACAACGAAGAACUUGGCCCAAUUUUAUGUUUGACCAUUAAAUUAAGUUAAAAUCGUGUAGUUUUUAAUUUAUUUUCAAUCGAUCCCAAUAUGAGAAUGUUUGUUAUUCAAAAAAUAUAAAUGUGUUUGGGGCAAAUAUUUAUUAGGUUAGAUUUGACAGAUUUAUCGUUUUGUUCUUUUGUAUAUGCAUUAUCAUUAAAAAAAAUUUAGGUAGU